CAGUGCAUUCCAACACAGGACAUUUCAGCCCUCGUGUUUUGUUAAAAUUUAGUUUUGCUAUGAUCUUGACAUGGGCUUUUAUGAAAAAGGAAAAUGCUUACACCUUUCAAGUUCUGGAUUCUUACACCAAAGAAGCUGUGAGACGUUCACAGAUGGUUGUCCUCCGCAGCCGUACUUUAGUAGCGACAUGUUUCAAUACCCAAAGUGUUCGGAGAUCGACGAGAAAAAUAGAUGUUACUUAGCUGAUAUAGAUUGCCAGUCAAGGAAAUCAGUUAA